rnacentral:lncRNA from 1 species
CAGGAAUUAAUAUAAAUGAGAAGUUUAAAGGUGAUACAUGCCAACACGGCGAUAAUCACUACAAAUCCCCAAGACUAGGUAGUACAGAGUCAUAAGCUCUACUGACAUACACUAGAAUUUCUAAAUACAAUACUGUUUUGAAAUAAAGAUAAACAACAUUAAAGAUAAUAUCCGAAGGUGACUCCGAGGCAUGUGAACACCAAGUAGGUAUACCUUGAAGUCUCCAGCCGCGCAGACACUACUCUCAAACCAACACGAUUAAAAGUAUUUGGAUCUGAACAAAAAUGUGCAGAAGCGUAGUAUGAGUACACCACAGCGGUACCCAGUAAGUAUUAAGACUAACCUCGAUGGAGUACUGACGAGGUAAGUCAAAAUACCCACUAGACAAUAACCCGUGUAAGCAUAUAAAUCUAAAGCUAACAGUGGAAAGAACAUCAAUAUAAGGCUAACAAUGGAAUAGUGAAAACAUCAAAUGGCAACAAGAAAUAAACAGGUACUAAAACGGCAAAGUAAUCAGAACAUAGUUAAAAUGUGAAUGAAAUCAAUUAGGAAAAAUAAAUGCCAAUUCAAGUAAUCAAGUCUUUCCAACGCAUGAUGCACAACAAGAAUCACUCUGAGGCAUCACACCCCCUGUUCACAAAUCAUAGGCCCAAUCACGAAUCUGGCACAUAUGGAACCUCGUGCCCACAUUAUCAAUCACCUUUGCACGGCAAAGUCCACGCGCUAUGCCAAAUAAAAUGUUCGAGUGAUUUAUUUAAAUACAAUAAAAUAUAAUGACAAUCUUUAAUAAAGUAAAACGUCAAAUGAGAUAAUGAGUUUAUUUUAGAAUAGUAUCAAUAGAGUAAAGCGUAAAAUAAAGUAUAAUUUAUACAAAAUAGGGUAUCAAAUAAGUUUAGUUUAGAAGUCAAUAAGGUAAAGUAAAAUAACAUUUUUAAAUAAAGUAAAACAUCAGAUAAGUUAGCGAAUUUAAUAUAGAAUUAGCUAAAGUAAAGCGUGAUAACAAUUUUAAGUAAAGUAAAACAUCAAAUAUGGUAAUGAGUUUAAUUUGAGAUCGAAUCAAUUAAACUAAAAUAUGAUAACCAUCUAAAAAUAGUAAAAUACCGAGUGAGAUGACGAGUUUUAUCUUAAGAGCCACAUAAAGUAAAGCAUGUUAAUAACUCUUCUAUUUAAAAUCCAUUAUGUUACCAACAACUCAACAGAAUAUGAGAUAAUGACUCCACGUAAGUAAAUUCAUCUUGACAAUCAAUUCACCAAGUAACAACAGAGGCACAAAUUGGCACAUUAAAGUAACACAACAAAUUACGUAGAAUGCAUGACUCGCACAAGUGGUCACAAUUAUUCCAACACAAGAAUAACAAUAAAUAACCAAAUACAAUCAAAUACAAGUGACAUGAUUUAAGGAAAAACAAUAACCAUUCAAUCAAUAAAACCAUUCCAAAUAGGGGUGUUCGUCGGUCGGUACGGUAUUUAGACAUUUUCGUUCGGUAUUUUCGGUUUUGGUUUCUUAAAAUGCUAUACCAUUACCGUACCUAAUUAAAUUCGGUAUGGUUUUGUUUUCUCCUUUCGAUUUCGGUUUAUUCGAUUCAGUAAUUUCGGUUUGAAUACUAACUAGUGCAUAGAGUCAUAAACUGUAAUAUUCUUAACUAAAGUAAUCAAAAAUACAAAACUGAAAACGUUUAUUGACAAAAGUUUUGUCCAAAACUAGAAAAUAUCAACUCAUAAAGAGAAAACUGUACAUAAAAGACUAAAUUUGAUCAUUAGAAAUGUCCUGUUACUUGCUUAGAGUUAACUAAUGAACUUAAAGAUUAAAGGAAAGUAAAAUUUUAGAUUUUUUAUAUGUAUGUUAUAAUUAAUUAUAUGUGUAUUGUGUAAUAUAAUAUAUAUAUUUUGGUACCGUAUCGGUAAUUUAGUAUUUCAUUUUAAAAUACCAAAUACUAAUAUUUAUAAAAACUUAAAUCAAAUACCAUAACCGAUUACUAAAAUAUCAAAUGCCAAAAUUUUCGAUUCCGGUACGGUAAUUCAGUAUUUAUCAAAUUAUGCACAACCCUAGUUCCAAACAUAGGAUGUACAAUCAGAAUUACAACCGAGGUACCACACCUCAAAAUCACAUUUCACAAGUUGUCACACCUCCUUUUUCCCGAGGGAUAUGGGAGUUUGUCCAAUUAAAGUGACAUAAUUCGAAAUGGGAUUAUUUAUUUAUUCACAGUCGCCACUUGGAAUAAUUAUGAUGGUGUCCCAAGUCACCGGUUCAUUUUAAAUCCCAAAUCGAGGAAAUUUGACUCUAUUUUACGGUUCGCGAACAAAGAAGAUCGGGUAAGGAAUUCUGUUAACCCGGGAGAAGGUGUGAGGCACUCCCGAGUUUCGUGGUUUUAGCAUGGUCGCUUAACUAUUAAUAAUUGGCCUAAUCAUCUGAUUUAUUACAUAUUUAAAAUCUAUUGUGCAUUUUUACUCUUUCACCGCUUUUAAUAUUUAUAGAAUUUGUUUGAACAAGUCACGAUGUCGCACGCUUGUUUGUUUUUGUACACAUUGCGAAUCGCGCCACGUGAAAUGCACCCGCGAUUCACAACAUGUUAAUUUUCAUUAUUAUUUAAAGUUGAGGUCAAGUCGCGUAAAACGCGCACUUGAAUGGGGAUUUAUGUAUCGUGACCAUGCCACGAGAACCGUACCCAUAGUCACAAUGAUUUAUUAUUAAUCGCGCCUAAAACAAACUACGAUGUUCGAUAAUUGAUUAAUUUCUUAAGGUUGAGAUGAUUGUAAGGCAAGGAAAGAUGUGUCAGCUAUAUUAUUUAUUACUUUGGGCCUCGCAAGACUAAAUCUUUUCGGCCUAGUUCUGUUAGAAGAAAGAUCCAAACUCUAUUCUGAUUCCAGUCGACCAAAUGGCCCAUUUGAAUUAUCCUAGCGCACCCUACGUUUCAAAUUCAUUCGCAGCAAUUCACAUUAAAUUUGUCAUUCUUAACAUACUGACUCAGGCUAAAAUGGUGCAAACAUAAUGACAUGUUUCUCAAAAAACACAAAACUUCAUUCAUUUAAGCUUUUGAAUUCACAAACAGAAUACCAAACUUAUGCCUUAUGAAGGAUUAAGAUUCAAGUCAUAUUGCUUCUUCUCAAGAAUUAGCAAACAAAACAAACAUCCAACACACAUUCUCAGAGAUGUAAACAAACAAAGCAGUUGAAAACUUUUAGCUAGGUCAAUCAUAGUAAAAUAUCAACUAAAACCAUAAUAUUAAGAAAAAAAUGACCUUUGUGUAGAUGAAAACUUCUUCAAUUACAUGAGCAAAGGAAACUCCCGAAUUCUCGCACCAAAGGAACCACAAAUCGAAACCCGCUCCAGAAGCCUCGAACUCGACUCCAAAAAAAACUCGACUAAACGUGGGUGGUCUUACCUAGUUGAAACGAAGCUCUGCUUAUCGACAAAUAUGAUGCGAUGAGGACUAUUUUUGGGGUAGUUUGGUGCUUCGUUCCAGCUAGUUUUGGGUGGUUGUUUCAGCUGGUUUUUCGGCCGAUUUCAUUGUUUUUUGGGGAUCUUUUUGGCAGUUAUCGGCAGCUGAUUUGCGGCUAUUUUUGGCUGCAUUUUUGGCCAUUUUGCUCCGGUUUGGGACUGGAAUUUGGCUGAUUUUCAGCUGGGUUUUGGAGUGAUUUUGGGGAUGUUUCAGGUCAGUUUUUGACAGCCUUCUUCAGCAAUUUUGCAGCUGUUUUGCUGAAUUUUGAGGUGUUUUAUGGGGUGUUUUGGGGUGGAGAUGAAACUGGGUUUGGAGGUCCUUUUUGCUGGUGGUUUGUGGCUAACUUUAAUGGAGUUUUACAUGAGUUUUGAGGCUGUUUUGAGCUCGAAUUUUUGCUGUUUUGUGUGACGUUUUGGACUGGAUCCGAGCUGCUGGUUUUUGGGGCUAUUUGCGGUGUAUUUUGCUGGUGAUUCAACUGCAUUUCAUUGCUGAAUUUUAAAAGUGAACAGUGAUUUUUAUGGUGAAGCUAAGUGAGGAAGAUGAAGUAUUCUUGUAUAAAAAAAAUGGUGAAGAAGAAUGAAGCUGCUAGGUUUUUGUUUGGCCUCCAGUUCCCCCUUUUCGUUUCUGUGUGUGUGUUAUUUAGUUGAGAGAGUGACAAAGAUGAGAGAAUCCAUUAAGAGUGAAUGGAAAGAAUUCUUUUCAGAGAGAAAACGGACCCCUCCCUAAAGUGUGUGUAUCCCUCUUUAUGGUAGGAGAAAGGGCUUAGGGUUAAGGGAUUGGGC